GUAUGUAUACAUAUAUAUAUAUAUAUAAAUGACUGUAUAUAUAAUUCUAUAUUAUUGCUAGAAAGAUAAAGACACAAACUCCAUGUCCCAUCCCUGGAAGUGUUCAAGGUGAUGUUGGAUGGAGCUUGGAGCAAAAAUUAAAUAUUUGUAUUAAAAAACCAGAUGAAUAUAAAAAUUCCUCACUCAAAGACUUACAAGACAGCUGAAAAUUGCCACUGUGUUUGUUGUAAUUCUCUUAUCUGCAUUAAGGACAAGCUGACCCACACUUGGUGUUCUGCGAAUGUGCUUGGCUGAUUAGUCUGACGUAAGAGAUUUACACAAAUAUUUUUAUUAUAUAUCUAUUAUAUUUCUAAUAUUUAAUUGUAUAAAUGCCUGUAGCUAUAUAAAUAUUUUAUAAAAUUUUAUGCUUAUAUAUUUAUUUUUAUAUAUACACACGUAGCACCACCUUCCAGGGGAAGGCCCAAGAACGAACUUCAAAAGUCACUUUUUUAAAUGAAGAAAUGAAGUUAUUGUGGUAUUCACACAUCUCCAAACUUCUCCAGACCCUCUAAUCCAUUUGGCACCAGUUAAAUCUUUUUCAGAGGGGCCAGAGCUGCUCCCUGACAGGGCUGGGGACUCUUUUCCCUCUGGAUUCAUCAGCAGCUCCAAGUCCUGCUAGGAAUUCCACCUGAGGAGUGGGAAUGGAAAUCUGCAGUUCCACAGAAUUCAAAAAAAAAUUAUAAAUUCCUGUCACUGCAGCCUGGCAUCUUCCUGGAAGGGAACGCGACAGCCGAUUUUGACUGGAAGAGGUGGCGAGACAGGAAAAAAAAGGAUUUUCCCCGCAAUCUUUGGAGUCAAUCGUUCACUGUGAAAUCCACUGAAGUCCGAGUGGUUUUCCACACUCACCUCCCGAAUUCCAGGAGCAGAGGAAGGAGCAGGGAAUAAUGAAAUCACAGCUCUUUAAUGAGCCUCAGCUUUCAACAGCUCCGGGAUCCUCCAGAGCAAGGGCUCAGUUCCAGCAAAAUGACAAAAAUCUCUGUUCCUGGUCUGGAGGGAGAGCACAGCAAGGUCUGUAACAAAUUAUUCCUGUUGUGAUUGUAUCGAGCACUCCUGAAAUUUGUGUCCUACAAAGAGAAUUAACAACGUGGCUGUGGGAGCUGUUAGUCCUCAGCUCUGUCUUUGUAAGGCUCAGGUGAAUAUUUAAAGAUUAUUUAAUAUUAAUAUUUAUCUUUUGGUGGGGUUAAACCCUGCGCCAAUGCUCACCAGCAGGCACCGGGUAGCACCGAAAGGGAUUUUUGUUGGCUUUUGUUAACAAUCAGGGACUGGUUAUCACUGAAAGGGUUUGUUUUUUGCUGGCCUUGAAAUCCUCACCUUGUGAGAAUUGAAAGCAGGGAACAGGUAAAUAAAGGAAAAUGGGAUUGUGGUGUUAAUGGAUAAGCUGUGCAGGGAACGGGACAGGCAGCUCUGCUGUGCUUCCUUCAGAUCAGCAGGACACAAAUCCUGGGUCAGACUGGAAACCUGAGCAAAACCCAACAUGUACCCAGGGGAGCUGUGUGAGAACCCAAAUCCUGAAACACCCAGAGGAGCUGUGUGA